GCAAGGAGCAACUGUAAUAUUGUGGGACUAACAUGGAUGUAACGUUAAAAAAAAGAUCAGGAUUAUUAGUAACAAUUCUAGUAUUUUCCUCCCACCUUCUCCCUCUCCUCUCUCCUCUAUUAUUUUCUCUCUUUUCCCCUCCCUUCCUGUACAUUUUCCUCCACUUUUUUUCAUUACUCAACUUGUUCCCCAAGAAGGUAGUGUACUAGGAUCCUAUUAGUCUGCUUUUCAUAUACUGUACAUCAAGUAUAGGAAAUGUGCACUGAGUAUACUAAAAGUAUAUGCAGGAUUAAUUUUACAUAAAGGCCUCUUCUGUAACAUUUCUCUAUUUUUAGAAAUACAAUUGCAAUAACUUCAGUCUUUUUACAUUCUUCUGCUGCAUCCAUACAAUGCUCCACUGCUGUUGAGUGUCCUUUAACUGUGGACCAAAGGCAACCCCUGCAGUGUUUAUAAAACAAUUUAAAGACCAUUCAGGCCACAUAAGAUGAGAAUGCAAUUUUGUAGGAUUACAAAAAAGCCAUUAAUAUGCCAGUCAAGACUACAGUUAAAACUACUCUUGCACUGCAACAGUGCAUAUGACCUUUAUGUGAUUGUACAGUAUUAAAAGUUUUUUCUUAUGUACAGUAAACUUUAUCAUAUGGCAGAAGCCUCUAUUGUGUUAAAUAAAUUAGUAUUUCAUAUAUAUACAUAUAUAUGCACCUAUAUAAUGUGUAUAUAUAUAUAAAAAGGCGGCCAUUGCUAUUGCAAUUCAUUUAAUAAAGCUUUAGUUUAAACAAAAGUAUUGUAUACAGGAACUAUGUAUAGUGCAGGGGUUCUUUUCAGUUAGAAAAGGCAGGUUGCUUUAAUGUUAUUCUGACUCGCAUUGUUUGCCAACGGAAAAUAUUUUAUACUUUUGUUAUUAAAGCAUCCAGGGCAAUUUAAUAUUUGUUCCUAGAUGUAACUCAUUUGAAUAGGUUUCGCAUUUGUUAUUCAGCAGUGUAUAAAGCUAACCUUGAUACUUUUACUUUUAAUUAAUUAUCUAAAUGAAAAAUGCUAUUAGCUGAACCACAUCCACAACAGCACAUAGAGCUCUAGGAGAGUUGAAACAUAGAUCAUUGAAGGUUACUAAUCCUCUUCCAAAGCAGCAAGUCAAUCAAUACAAUUAUGAUAUUUGGGGAGGGGUGGGAGCCCUUAAGAACUAUUGAUGUGGCCUUAAAUUACUGUCAUUUAUUAUCCUAAAGAAGAAAACAUAAUAACCAUAAUGGGCUCUCAACUCAACCCCCUUUUUUAUUUAGUUCUAUUUGGAGGAGUUAUGUAUUUUUUACAUUAGUGCCAAGUAUAUAGAAGGAUGACAGCAAAAACAGUGCCUCUUUGUGCACAACCCUUUUAAAGUAGCUUUCUUACUUGUUAGAAAUGUAGGAUGAACUUUGUUUGUAAUCCUUAAAUUAAAAUGUGGUAAGUAGGAAACAAGAACUUAUUCUGUGUUUUUACGCAGCCAUACACUUACUUUAAUCUAAUUCAUUCUGUGGCUAGGAUUGAUAUAGGAAUCAACCUCUGUGAUUUGCUUUAGGAGAAAUUAAAAGGUAUAUUCUUAAGAUAUAUUAUAUUUUGAUGCUAAUUCUGUUCUGGGGAGCAUCUUGUAUUGUCACUGUUUUGUACUAAAUCUUCAAAUAUUGUCUACUGUGUAAGGCAGAAAAAUUUCUCAUCAUGCAAAAACCAUUUUGUUUCCAGGGUAACAAGUACCUAAGUGCAUGCACAACUUGUUUUCCCUUGUAACAUUCAUGAUCUCAUUUACAACUCUGAUUUUAAAACAAAAAAAUCUUUACAACAAGCUAUAUAGGGACAUACCAGAUGUUGCAGUGAUUUUAGCUAUCAACAAACUGUUAACCAUGUACAAUAUUUAAAAUAGGCUUAUUUUGAUGUAUCGCCUAUUAUACAAACACACAAAACAUUUUUGGAGGCCUCAGUUAUGAGUGACAGAGCUUUCUGUGUAUAAUUUGUCUAAAUAAUUUGUCUAAUAAAAAUGUUUUCUAAA
ensembl:lncRNA